rnacentral:rRNA from 1 species
CGUAACACGUAAGCAACCUGCCCCAAAGACCGGGACAACGUUCCGAAAGGAGCGCUAAUACCGGAUGUGCCCACUUUGUGACAUCACUAGGUGAGUAAAUCGAGCAAUCGGCUUUGGGAGGGGCUUGCGGCCUAUCAGCUAGAUGGUGGGGUAACGGCCUACCAUGGCGACGACGGGUAGCUGGUCUGAGAGGACGAUCAGCCACACUGGGACUGAGACACGGCCCAG